UUCUGGAGAUGGAUGGUGGGGAUGGCUGCACAACAAUGUGAAUGUACUUAAUGUCCCCAAAUGUACACUUCGAAAUGACUAAACUGGCAAAUGUUUUGUUCUAUAUACACAAGAAAAAAACAGAAAAGAAAGACAAGAAGGAAGGAAGCGCCUGCCUGCCGGGAUGCUUGACGAACGUGGCUGUCCUUUCUCUGUGGCCAGCAUGCAGCCCUUUCCUGCUUAUUUUUGGAAAAUCCACGCCAUGCGGUCAUCCACCCUGCAUGUUUAUUUGGCAGCUGCAACACCCGAAUGUUCACCCAAGAGGCACCAGAGAGAACACCCCUGGGAAACGCUGAAGAGCAAACACUAGACUAAGGUGGGAUGAAAUAACACUGAGAAGAUGGACUCUGGGUUUAGAGAAAGACUUUAUUUAGAGAUGCUUUGCCAUUUUUAAACACAAGAGUGGAGCAAAUUUGUAGAAGAAGAAGAAAGGUGGAAGCCACCGGGCACAGCAGAACACUGAUGAAAUAGUGGGUGCUCCAGCAGCCAGCUUAAGCCAUAAUGCAUGGAAAUCUGCAAGGAUUGUGGAGCAGAAAGACAGAGGGAGCUUGGACACCUGAUUAUAUGUUGGCUUCUUCAUAACUGGCCUCAAUCAUCUCUACAUCUAGAGUCUUUUAAAAAUGUGAAUGAGUAUUAAAAGUCUGUCUUCUUUAAGCCAUUGUUACUGGGGGUUUUCUGUCAUAUACUGCCUCUUUCUAAAUAAUUACUAGAUUUUGAAAAACCUAGAGUGGUGCUAUUUCGUGUAGAAUAAAAGG
rnacentral:lncRNA from 1 species